AUGAAAAUAUCAAGGCUCAGCCGCCGCCAUGUCCUCUAUGGGUGUGCUCCAGGUAGGUCCUUCUCCAAGAGUUUCAUCGGAUCCUCUCAUGUAUCUUACGAUGGUCAGGCCCAGUUUUUUCCCCAGUUUUUUCCCCCACGUCUUGAUCUAGAGCUGCUAAAUCGGUGGAUCGAGCAGAUCAGGUCGAGCAGAUCAACGACCAGACGAUCCCGGCGAUUGGCGUCCAGACGGCGACCAUGAAGUCCGUGUCCCAAACGACAAACAAAGCAAUCAGUCUGUAGGUAUCAUUCUACAUCUAUGGUACAAGUAUGAGGAUAACACCAUUCUAUUGGUAACCUGAGGACUCUGAAGUCUCGACUUUGGACAUGCCAAUAAAGGUCCUUGUCAUUCAAUUCAAAAGGUAUACAAAAUAUCACCCUGUCCAUUCAACUGAUCAUGUUUGCUAUAGACAUCACGUUUGCUUUGUUUCAUGAUAAUCAUAACUAAGCUGUUAUCUAGGGCGUUCUUUGUCCUCCGAUUACUCCUAGCAAACACACUUGCAGAUAGUUUUUCUUCUUUCUAACCGUUUUUCUGUUGUAACAAUUCAGUAGCAACAAUGAUAUGUAUUUACUGAUGUGAUGAGGCAUACCAUAGUCAUAUAUUAUAGAUGUGCGUAUUGUUUCUCCGGCUAGCGGUUCACCCGUUUGGAGACUAUCCAGUAUUGAUCCCGCUUUUCAACUGGCUGACCAACGAUGCAUAUAUACAUCCUCUCCCAAGAAUUCAUUGCCUCCCUAUCUAAGAAAUAUCAUGCGAGAUUUCUCUUUGUCAUCAUAUUUGGUAUUAAUCUGAUAUGGUAUUGAUCGCAGGGGACAUAGAAAGAAGUGACCUAGCAAUAAGACUGAUGCCUUCUAAUUAAUAUUGUCUCCACGCUGGAACUACAGUCAAAAUAUGUACUUUUCCCGAAGUCAUUAAUUCCAUCCUUCUAACUAGGACUGUAUCUAAUCACAUACAUUCACCAAUGGUUAUCGAAGUACCGUGGUGCCUAGCUAGGUUUGAUAUUUAAUAGAUGUCAAAGUACGUGUGCUCACUCGGCGUCUCUAUACAGAAAAAUCGAGCGGUCCUCUUACAUCAGGUUUGCAAGCGCCGCUGGGAACUGCUAAUUGUUGUCUUUCAUGCACGUCCCCAGAAAUUUCUAGGUACUCCAUCAAGUGUGAACGUAUCCAACAAUACCCUGGUACAAUUUCUAGGAACCAUUACAUCAUGAUGAUUAAUAUCACUCGGUUUUACUAUUAUCACCUUCAAAAAUAUUUUCUGGUGGACACCCCAAUAGCAAAGACCAGAUCGAGUAGUCCUUCCAUCCCCUCAAGCAUCCCCAUUAUCAAAUCUUUUUUAUCUAUUUGUCUCCGGUCUUCUACCAUUUGAUAACGGCUAUCAUCUAAUUACAUGGUUCUCCUGUAUUUCCUUAGCAUUCUUAAAUCCCUUCAAUCUAUCUUCCCAACCCCGUACAACUAAAAGUUUAUCUUAUGAAAAGUGCCAAUGGUACAAUAUUUGGAUGCUGAUAGGAUGAGAUAUCCAGCAAAAAUGUAUCCUUGUAGAUGAUGCAUGUUAAUAUUGAAGGCUACUCUGAUUUCUGUUAUGAUUUAACAUGUCAAAGAAAUAUAUGUUUAUAUAGAUAAUCCCUGUUUACUUUCCGCUUCCCUUGAUUUCUUUAAGGAUUAAACAUAUCGGGGGAAUAUGUUUAUUGAUGGAUAAUGACUAUGAACAUUUAGUUUCCCACAUGUACCUACUACAGAAAGAUAAUAGAAUUACAAUACUACAAACUUCUGAUGAAACAAAUAAUAUUAAGUGUAAUACCGUUCUGCAGUGAUCCUCUUGUGCUUUCCAGAUAGCAAGAAAACAACUUGACACAACAAACAAGCAAUGACCUUUUGAAUCGAUAGAUCCUGUAGACUAAUAUCUUUUGUUGGCAAAAAAAGCAAUGUAGCAACUAUGAUUCUCCUGCAGGAUUAAUUAAUAUAAUGAUUUUGUUAGACAUUUUGGAAUAGGCUUUGGAAUUAGUAGUGACCUGACUGGUAAAACACAACUCAGACGUUUAUUUUUCUAUCACCUCCUAAGUCUCUCAAGGCUGUUAUUGGCUCAUCGGAGAUUAAUAUUUUGCUAUAGAGAUGGAACAAAAUGCUAAUGUCAAGAAACAACACGGCAGCCUGUAAUCUUCUAUCACGUUUUCAGGCACUUGCAACAUGAUAUUGCUAAAUUAUUACCAUCGUUAUCCAAAGAUCAAUUACUGCAAGAAGGUAUGCGGCCUUUACAGAAAUAGUGUUUUUUUAGUUCAGCAGAACUUUACAGGAUCUUGAUCUAUGAGUCUAAACAAACUAUCCUUUGUUUUUAUCUUUAUAUAUGAUAUAAAAAACAGGAGGGAGUGGCAAAACAAAAACCAAAUAGGCUUGCUAAUGCUAUGUGUAGAAAUCAUUUAAUCUCUGAAAUAACUUAAAGGGAAUGGCAAAAAGUUAUGAGCUACGUAUACAGUAGACCUUAUCAUGAAAGCUACCUGAAGCUGCAAGCGCAGUAUGAAGCUGACACUGAGGUUAAAUCAAAUAGGAAAUAUGAGAGGAAGAAAUGCAGAAUAGCAUCAUCUCAUAUCACAACCAACUGUAUUGGUAAUUCCUUUGCAGAAUCGACACCAGAAAAACAAAAUACAGGAUGGUACCGAUUCAUGGCAGCGUCUUGGACGAUUCAAACCAGCAAUAUGCACGAGGACCUCUUGUCUUCUCAAAGUAGACAGCCGGCGACCUGCGCUCUGCAAACCUCGCGCGCUCCUGGUCAGAUCGAAGGUGCCUCACCCUCAUCAGCCCAGACCUCAGCUAUGGUACUCCAUCAACAAUACAUCAUGCCCCAUUUGAAGGCUCAAUUUGUAGGCAACGAAGACCAUGACAUACAAGAUUCCGGUGGAUUGCUGGGACGAGUGAAGACAACCAGAUUUCUAAAUUUCUGGGAGCGGAGACAACCAGAUUCCUAAAUUUGGAGACAAGCGGUGGACAAAGGGAAAAGGGGAGAAGAGGAACCGUGAGCAAUCGGAUGUCUAUCUCGAGAGUCAAGUAAAAUUAUACUAUUCUUUAUUUUUUUAGCAAACCACUUAUCUCAAAGUAAGACAAGGCGCAAUACGUAUCUCAUGUAAAACCAUAAACUUCGGUAACAUACUCUGUGUACUCUGCCUUCUGUAAUAAGGAAAGGCGCAACAAGUAAGCUACUCGCUCCAUGCACUUCUACCUUCUAUAAUAGUUUUUUAU